rnacentral:rRNA from 1 species
GUACACGCUGUGACUAGCAUAUCAAUAAGCGGAGGAAAAGAAACUAACAAGGAUUCCCCUAGUAACGGCGAGUGAAGCGGGAAGAGCUCAAAUUUGAAAUCUUAAAGGGUUUCCCUUUACGAAUUGUAGUUUAAAGAAGUGUUUUCUGUUGAGGUUUUGGUAAAAGUUCUUUGGAAUAGGACAUCAUAGAGGGUGAGAAUCCCGUAUUUGACCUUUACUUUCAACUUUGUGAUACACUUUCAAAGAGUCGGAUUGUUUGGGAAUGCAGUCCAAAAUGGGUGGUAAAUUUCAUCUAAAGCUAAAUAUUGGCGAGAGACCGAUAGCGAACGAGUACCGUGAGGGAAAGAUGAAAAGAACUUUGAAAAGAGAGUUAAACAGUACGUGAAAUUGUCAAAAGGGAAGCGUUUGACACCAGUGUUGUUUUUCUGAAAAUCAAUUAAAGAACUGUUUAUGCUAAGCUGUUUAGACUUUAUCAGCUAAUCUGUUUAGUUUUGAGCUUUUCUUUAAUGCACUUUUCAGUUAACAAGUCAACAUCAAUUUCUUUUGCUGUAAAAAAGCUUGAGGAAGGUGGCUUGAGAUUCGUCUUAAGUGUUUAUAGCCUCUUGCCUAUGCAGUCGGAGAGAUUGAGGUCUGCAGCGUAGAUCCUUCGGGGCUAAAUGCAUUUGUGCUAAGUUAUAGCAUUUUAUAGACAACUUGUUGACUAUGAUUUGUCUUGUAGCUUACUCGCUUAUGUUAUUUUACCUACGCUUAGGAUGUUGACGAGACUGUCGAUCUC